rnacentral:rRNA from 1 species
CCUACGGGUGGCAGCAGUGAGGAAUAUUGGUCAAUGGACGAGAGUCUGAACCAGCCAAGUAGCGUGAAGGAUGACUGCCCUAUGGGUUGUAAACUUCUUUUAUAUGGGAAUAAAACAGGGUAUGCAUACCCUCUUGUAUGUACCAUAUGAAUAAGGAUCGGCUAACUCCGUGCCAGCAGCCGCGGUAAUACGGAGGAUCCGAGCGUUAUCCGGAUUUAUUGGGUUUAAAGGGAGCGUAGGUGGAUGGUUAAGUCAGUUGUGAAAGUUUGCGGCUCAACCGUAAAAUUGCGGUUGAAACUGGGGGGCGUGAGUAGGUAGGAGGCAGGGGGAAUGAGUGGUGUAGAGGGGAAAGGCGUAGAAAGAACGAAGAACGGCGAUGGAGAAGGAAGGGGGCCAA